GCUUGCUUUGUAAGCAGAUGAUAUUUUCCAUGAAAUUCCAUUAUUUAGUAUUACACAAGAUUCAUUUGUUUCUUGCUUCAAUUUUCAAUUUUCAAUGAACGUUGUGAAAUAUGUUAAUUCAACCUAUUCGCAAUGAUUUUUAUUAAUAAAUUUGCCAAGUCGUACAAUCGCAUUGAGAUCCACAGUGACAGUGGAUAAUGUGAAAUGUCGAUACUCUUUCGAAUUUAAUUAAAUCCAAAGUGUCUAGACAAUUUUUCUACUCAAUGGAUACGAGAAGUCCGUCAUUUGCCCACGCUAUACCCAACUACCUGUCCUCAGCAACCACAAUAAAUUACAACGACGUCUUCGCGCCGGUCCCUAACUGUAUUUGAUGAGCUCGAAAGUAUAUCUUUCUAUGAAAUAAGCCAUUUCCGAAUUCAACAACUUAUUCAAACGAAGCGACGUCGUUUUCGGAAAAAGGAAAUUUACUUACACAUUUAUACAAUUCUCAUAGAUCAACUUUGGCUUUACUUUUAUGUCUUCGCGGGAACACAAGGUUAAGUCUUUACCUACAAUGGACUGCGGAAUCGAGGAGCGACAACUUCCGGGAUUGUCAAAAUAA